rnacentral:rRNA from 1 species
GAUGAACGCUAGCUACAGGCUUAACACAUGCAAGUCGAGGGGAAACGGCAUCGAAAGCUUGCUUUUGAUGGGCGUCGACCGGCGCACGGGUGAGUAACGCGUAUCCAACCUGCCCAUCACUUGGGAAUAACCUUGCGAAAGUAAGACUAAUGCCCAAUGACAUCCCACGAAGGCAUCCGAAUGGGAUUAAAGAUUUUUCGGUGAUGGAUGGGGAUGCGUCUGAUUAGCUUGUUGGCGGGGUGACGGCCCACCAAGGCAACGAUCAGUAGGGGUUCUGAGAGGAAGGUCCCCCACAUUGGAACUGAGACACGGUCCAAACUCCUACGGGAGGCAGCAGUGAGGAAUAGUGGUCAAUGGGCGAGAGCCUGAACCAGCCAAGUAGCGUGCAGGAUGACGGCCCUAUGGGUUGUAAACUGCUUUUAUAAGGGAAUAAAGUGGGUCACGUGUGACUUUUUGCAUGUACCUGAUGAAUAAGGACCGGCUAAUUCCGUG